CCCAUCCUGUCCCCUCCCAUCCUGAGCAGAAAGGGUUGAGGCUGGAUGAGACAUGGCACAGAGCUCUGAGUGCCCAGGGCUUUCCAGGGACCCCCAAGUGCUCCACAGUGUUACCUCCUCUGUGCCCUCCACCCCAGCCAGUGACCAGCACAGCUCCCCAGGUUACAGGUCCUGCAGGACGGGAACUCUGCUGCUCUCCAUGCACACCACACGACACAACAUGACCCUGUUGUUGGUUGCAACAGCUGCAGCAACACAAUUAAAAGUGAUGACAGCAUUUGCACCACCGGCUGUCACUGCCCAGAGACGUUUCCCUAUAGUGUGGGCUGACAGACUCAGUCACAGAAUUGCUUAGGAAUCUCAUCUGCAGCUUGCAUGCUUGGCAAGGCAAACCCUCUGCCAGGCUGCUGUAUGAUGCCAUUAAAGGUCUUUAGGACACAGCCAUCCUCCUACUUCUUGGGGGUCUCUACCCUGCUCCUCUCAAUCCCCCAUCAGACUUGGAUCUUUCCUGGCUGAGCUGGGGCUCUCCCCCUUGACUUUGUAUCUGCUGAAGUUCCUGUGAGGAUCUGAGUACUGAAAUCACCAUUCCUUUCCCUGGCUCUGGAAAAUAUGUAAGUUUAUUUUCUUCAAUGAAGAACUGUCGGUGAGGAGAGGUUUACAUCAAACCUGCAAGGAAAACACUGUCAUUUUUCUCUUCAUGCUUUGUCUGCCUCGCAGUUUGAGUUUUGCUCUCUAUUGUACUGGAAAACUACCCUCGCUCUUGCCAGCAUGACCUCAAUCAUCAUUGGAGCGUAGAACUAAUGCCUCUCAUGUUGUGUAGAUGCACAUCAGAAGUGCGCCAGGUCCUCAUUCCCUCUGCGCUACAAGCUUGUAUUCAGGCCUCUCCUCCUUUGAGCAGACGGACACCAGUCCUCAUGUCUGUAGCUGGGCACAUCGGGGAGAUGCAUCAAAAAUCUCCUCUCCUCAGGUCUGGCUGCAGAUCACCUUCCGGUCACUCCAGCA
rnacentral:lncRNA from 1 species